rnacentral:lncRNA from 1 species
CCAAGAAGCACAAGAACCCUAUCAUAAAGGGUUUGAAGGCUCAAAAGAAUUUGGACCUCACUCUUUAGAUAGUGGAGAAACUUCAGAGAUUUCAAAGCAAGUCAUUUCUCUCAGCAAUGGUUGAGAUGUAUAAGGAGCUGCUGAGGCGAAGAUGAAGAAGGCCUGUGAGGAGUCAUGAGGAACAAGUCUGCUCUGAGACAAGAGACAUCUUGAAAACUGCUCUCAAGGCCCACAUCAAGGGAGGAGUCUCAGGAUCAGAAGAGACUAUACCGGUUUGAUGCUGGGACCCCCUUCCCAAAAGUCAAGGAGUUUUAUGUCACUUCCCAGCAGUCCAGCACCUGGUUGGACCCGAUCGUAUCUGGGGACUCAGCCCCUGGUACCAAGGCUUUGGCUCUUGCUUUUGAUUGAUUGCCUCAGGGCUGGCAGGCUUCCCUCUGGCACCCACUCUCAGGAAGCCAUCUGCAGCUGCUGGCUUGUCACUUGUCACUCCCUACCCAAGAGGUGGCAGCAUUUCAAUGGUAGAGCAACAGAUCCUCAGCCUGCAGCUAGGCUAAUAGCUUCGAAGUUGAGAACUGGGGACUUAUUUCCAAGAGGCCUCACUCCUUCCAGUUCCAGUAAAGUCGUAAUGGCUAAGGGUGUGGACUUCAAGGAGAUAGUGAGCCUCAGUAUUUCCUACCCUGAAUCAGGACAACUGCAGGAAAAUAUUUGUAGCGGACACUCAAUAAAUGUUAAUUGAAUGUGACAGGCCUUGUGCACACACCUAGGAAGAAGAGUCCGUGUUCUCCCAGAGUUUUGAUUCCAGAAGAAAAGGAGAAGAGACUCUUGAGCAGCACCUCUUUACUCUGCUUUUUCCCCCAGUUUCAGCAAUGCCUGUCCAUUUCAUUGGCUUGUUGCUCUUUUGCUAUUAGAUACUACUGCCCCAAAGCAACUCCUGCACCUGGUGAGGAGUUCUGUGACCAACAAAACAAAACAAAAUUUAGACAUACAAGAAAUAAAAAUAAAAGUCACACAAUAAUGAGACUUUUUAAGGAUCUAUACCCUUGACAGAAU